AUUGAACGCUGGCGGCAGGCCUAACACAUGCAAGUCGAGCGGAUGAAGGGAGCUUGCUCCUGGAUUCAGCGGCGGACGGGUGAGUAAUGCCUAGGAAUCUGCCUGGUAGUGGGGGAUAACGUCCGGAAACGGGCGCUAAUACCGCAUACGUCCUGAGGGAGAAAGUGGGGGAUCUUCGGACCUCACGCUAUCAGAUGAGCCUAGGUCGGAUUAGCUAGUUGGUGGGGUAAAGGCCUACCAAGGCGACGAUCCGUAACUGGUCUGAGAGGAUGAUCAGUCACACUGGAACUGAGACACGGUCCAGACUCCUACGGUAAGCAGCAGUGGGGAAUAUUGGACGAUGGGCGAAAGCCUGAUCCAGCCAUGCCGCGUGUGUGAAGAAGGUCUUCGGAUUGUAAAGCACUUUAAGUUGGGAGGAAGGGCAGUAAGUUAAUACCUUGCUAUUUUGACGUUACCAACAGAAUAAGCACCGGCUAACUUCGUG
rnacentral:rRNA from 1 species